UACAUGCGUGUCCCCAGCAAAGACCAGU
rnacentral:piRNA from 1 species